rnacentral:rRNA from 1 species
CUAAGAAUCUUCCGCAAUGGGCGAAAGCCUGACGGAGCGACGCCGCGUGUGCGAAGAAGGCCGAAAGGUUGUAAAGCACUUUUCUCGAUGAGGAAUAAGCAGAGGAGGGAAUGCCUCUGUGAUGACGGUAGUCGAGGAAUAAGCCCUGGCAAAAUACGUGCCAGCAGCCGCGGUAAUACGUAUGGGGCGAGCGUUGUUCGGAAUUAUUGGGCGUAAAGGGCACGUAGGCGGACGUUCAAGCCUGAUGGAAAAGCAUAUGGCUCAACCAUAUGAACGUGUUGGGAACUGGACGACUUGAGUUUUGGAGAGGGAGCUGGAAUUCCCGGUGGAGGGGUGGAAUCUGUAGAUAUCGGGAAGAACACCAGAGGCGAAGGCGAGCUCCUGGCCAAAAACUGACGCUGAGAGGCGAAAGCGUGGGGAGCGAACAGGAUUAGAUACCCCCGUAGUCC